GUGUCCAUGAACCGACCCACGAACCCUUCUUCGUCUCCUAUCGGCCUUAGUUCCUCUUCGACUAAGGUCACAAGUCUCGGAUUCAGUGUCUUCGAUCCAGAUAGGAACGAAGCGACUGAAUCCGAGGCUCGAUAGCUGAAAUGAGGCAAGUGAAGCAUGCAAUUAAUAAUUAGAGCUUCGCCUCUAACUAACUUGACAUUGGUUGGCUUAAAUAUUUCGUCUGAGUCCAAUCUGCAGUGAUGAAAUGAAAAUGGCUGACCGAUAGAAGCAGCGAAAGCAGUUAACCGACGGCCGGUCUCUUGGACCGUCCCGAACGACCGACGGCCGCUGCCGCUUCUUGACAAUGCUGUGAUCCGAAGAUGCGGAGUUGGAGGUCCAUCUUUUCUAGACACCAAAGCUUGCAUUAACGAUGCCCAUUGAAUUCCUUCCAUUAUAUCGUAAUCGAUAAUAUGAACUCUCCGAUCGUGUGUUACCGAUUCGAAUAUAGCUUGAUUUGCUGUAAAAUGCCCAAAUUUAACAAAAGGAGACAUAUCCUGUAAUAGCUGAAAAGCUGCAAGUACAUCUCCCUGACGGUGUUCGUCUUUGUAAUUUGGGGAAAACAUGUGUUUAGUGUGUAACGUACCGGAAGCCAUCAACGCCUGCAAGGCGUCAGUGAAAUACGCAGCCAAUCUCUCCAUAUUAGUAGCGCCGUUUGGGGACGCUAAUUCCUUGAGCCGAACCAAUAUCACUCGAGCCAACUCACGGCUUUUGUUAACGCCGGUUAAUGCCUCCGCUGCUGCCAUGAGAAGGUGAACAAGCUUCAGCCCGUUAAUAUCUUCCGAUUGAUUGUUAUUGGAGUCACCUGAUUCUUCUUCUUCCUCCAUAAACUCAGCACAAUCUUGAUGUUCGGAUUUGUAAAAGCAAUUACCCGAUCCCUGCACCAUAGAUUCAAUUAGAUCUUGAAA
rnacentral:misc_RNA from 1 species